rnacentral:rRNA from 1 species
GACGAACGCUGGCGGCGUGCUUAACACAUGCAAGUCGAACGGUGAAGGGGCCUGCUUUUGUGGGCCCUGGAUGAGUGGCGAACGGGUGAGUAACACGUGAGUAACCUGCCCCCUUCUUCUGGAUAACCGCAUGAAAGUGUGGCUAAUACGGGAUAUUCUGGGUCUGUCGCAUGAUGGGUCUGGGAAAGAUUGCGCCUUUGGGUGUUUUUGGUGGGGGAUGGACUCGCGGCCUAUCAGCUUGUUGGUGGGGUGAUGGCCUACCAAGGCGGUGACGGGUAGCCGGCCUGAGAGGGUGGACGGUCACACUGGGACUGAGACACGGCCCAGACUCCUACGGGAGGCAGCAGUGGGGAAUAUUGCACAAUGGGCGCAAGCCUGAUGCAGCGACGCCGCGUGAGGGAUGGAGGCCUUCGGGUUGUAAACCUCUUUCGCCAGUGAAGCAGGCCUGCUCCUUGUGGGUGGGUUGACGGUAGCUGGAUAAGAAGCGCCGGCUAACUACGUG